rnacentral:lncRNA from 1 species
GCAGAUAGUUGAAUUCGUUUAGGAGCACAGAGCUCAAACGUUGAAUUGGGUUGGUAUCUAUGGUUUCGUUUUUUGAAAUUUUCUCUGCUGGUGUUGCCAUAAUGGCUUAACUGGUUUGGAUUUGGUAGGAUUUCAGAAGAACACAGAGCCAGGUCCAAUAGGGAUCACUGCUCUGAUACCAUGUAGAGUUUUUGAUGUAUGUUUCAUGUAUAAAACAGUUACAAGUUCAUACAUAAAUAGAAGAAGAAACGGGAAAAAAAAUGGAGAACAAAAGGUAGGGGAUAAUGGCAGCUAAGCAAGUAUAAUGAUGACCUCCACUCUCUCUAACUUAAGCCACUAACAAGCUUUACAGCCACUAACAAGCUUUACAAUGAUGAGGGAAUAACAAACAGCUAAUACUAGCACUAAGACUAGCUGAAUGCAAGUUGAGCUGUUAUCCAUCAAAGCUAAAUAAAAGCUUGCAUUAUUCUUCCAACAUUUAACCCUACUUCCAACAGCAACCUUAAUCCAGUGCUUAAUAUCAUGUAUUAAGGUUAAAGACUGAUACUAGGGUUAAAGACUGAUACUUCAAUACCAAUGUAUUAAAAGGCGGAGGCGUGGGCAAGGCGUUCCAUGGAUAGUCCC